rnacentral:ncRNA from 1 species
UCUACUUAAAUUAAAUAGAAAAAAUAAUAAAAAAAUGAACCAUAAAUGGGUUAUUUCUUUUAUCCCAGCUGGAAAUCUUGAACAAUUUUAGAAAAAAAAAUUCAGUUCUUUUUUUACUUUUGACCUAAAAGGUGCCAGCAGUCGCGGUCAUACCUUUAAAAUGUAUUUUUACUUAGAGGAUUUAUAAAGAAAAAAAUAAAUAUUUCAGUAAAAUGAAUAUUUUUAAGAAAAUCAAAACUUUAAAAAUUUUUAAUUAAAUUUCAUUUUUUAAACUAGGAUUAGAUACCCUAUUAUAAAGAAAUAUAAAAAAUAUCUCUAAGCACUAAAAUUUAUUAAAAUUAAAACUUAAAAAUUUUGGCGGUAAAUUAAAAUCUCAGGGGAACUUACCAGGUAAUUGACAACCCACACGUUUAUUUACUUUUUCUAAUAGCUUAUAUAUUGCCGUUGUGAUUUUACUUUAAGGUAAAAUUAAUAAAUUCACUUAUUAAAUAACAGGUCAUAAUGUAGCAUAUGAACAAGUCAUUAAGGUGAGUUACAAUAAAACUUUUUUUCAGAUAUCUACUUUUAAUAGUAAUAACAAGAUGGACUUGAAAGUAAAGCUUAAAAAUAAAGCUUGAAUCCUUAUUAAUUUGUGCACAAAUCGCCCGUCACUCUCAUUUUUUAAAAUGAGAUAAGUCGUAACAUAGUAGAGGUAAUGGAAAUUGUCUCU